rnacentral:rRNA from 1 species
GACGAACGCUGGCGGCGUGCUUAACACAUGCAAGUCGAGCGGUAAGGCCCUUUCGGGGGUACACGAGCGGCGAACGGGUGAGUAACACGUGGGUGACCUGCCCUUAGCUCUGGGAUAAGCCUGGGAAACUGGGUCUAAUACCGGAUAUGACCUCAUGACUCAUGUUGUGGGGUGGAAAGCCUUGUGCGGCUAGGGAUGGGCCCGCGGCCUAUCAGCUUGUUGGUGGGGUAAUUGCCUACCAAGGCGACGACGGGUAGCCGGCCUGAGAGGGCGACCGGCCACACUGGGACUGAGACACGGCCCAGACUCCUACGGGAGGCAGCAGUGGGGAAUCUUGCGCAAUGGGCGAAAGCCUGACGCAGCGACGCCGCGUGAGGGAUGACGGCCUCGGUUGUAA